AUGACAUCAGCAGCAUCAUCACCACCAUUGUCAUCAUCAGCAGCAGCAGCAACACUAAAAUCAACAGAAAGAGACAGAUUGCAGACAGUUUGGAGAAAGAGACAGAGUUUACAGACAGAGUUUACAGACAGAUUACAGAGUUUACAGACAGAUUACAGACAGACCGACUUGAAGCUGAGCUGAAGGGUCUCGUCACUGAACAGGAAGCAAGAACUGAAAAGAUAACAGUCGACUCUCGCUUUGAGUCAUCUCUGACAUUUCCUCCGUUACCCCCAGACACAGAGCUCAGUCUGACACUCGGAGGGUCGCAGCCAACAUCGAAGAGAAACUUCUCCUCACGAUGUUCUCCUCCUCCUUCUUCCAGCUGUUCUCCUGGCUGCUCGGUGUGUUUCUGGUGUGUGGACUCUCUUUAGAGUGCCCUGAUCCUGACAAAGAGUAUCCUUGGCCCUCGAUAGUGGAAAGGAUGUGCUGUUCUAAAUGUAAACCAGGUACCAUCAUGGAUAUACGCUCACUCAAGACCUGUGACAUCAAGUGUGAUCCCUGCCCAAGGAACCAGUUCAUGGACUCCUACAACGUGAAAAUGGAAUGCAAUGAUUGCAGAAAAUGCGACAAACG